UGGUCACUGACCUGUGGUACCUUGAUGGUUGG
rnacentral:scRNA from 1 species